GUCUAUGGCCAUACUACUCUGAAUGCACUCGAUCUUGUCUGAUCUCAGAAGCUAAGCGGAGUUGUUGGGUCUGGUUAGUGCUUGUAUGGGAGAAACGGACAAAAGUGUACAUAGCUUAGAUG
rnacentral:rRNA from 1 species